rnacentral:rRNA from 1 species
UGGAGAAAAGCAGGGGAUCGUAAGACCUUGCGCUUUUGGAGCGGCCGAUGUCUGAUUAGCUAGUUGGUGGGGUAAUGGCCUACCAAAGCUUCGAUCAGUAGCUGGUCUGAGAGGACGGCCAACCACACUGGGACUGAGACACGGCCCAGACUCCUACGGGAGGCAGCAGUGGGGAAUUUUGGACAAUGGGCGCAAGCCUGAUCCAGCCAUGCCGCGUGAGUGAAGAAGGCCUUCGGGUUGUAAAGCUCUUUCAGCCGGGAAGAAAAGGCUGCGAUUAAUAAUCGCAGUUCAUGACGGUACCGGAAGAAGAAGCACCGGCUAACUACGUGCCAGCAGCCGCGGUAAUACGUAGGGUGCGAGCGUUAAUCGGAAUUACUGGGCGUAAAGGGUGCGCAGGCGGUUUUGUAAGUCAGAUGUGA